UACGGAGGGUGCGAGCGUUGUCCGGAUUUAUUGGGUUUAAAGGGUGCGUAGGUGGCUUUAUAAGUCAGUGGUGAAAUACAGCCGCUCAACGGUUGAGGUGCCAUUGAUACUGUAGAGCUUGAAAUAAUUGGAGGCUGCCGGAAUGGAUGGUGUAGCGGUGAAAUGCAUAGAUAUCAUCCAGAACACCGAUUGCGAAGGCAGGUGGCUACGAUUUAUUUGACACUGAGGCACGAAAGCAUGGGGAGCAAACAGGAUUAGAUACCCCCGUAGUCC
rnacentral:rRNA from 1 species